rnacentral:rRNA from 1 species
UACGUAGGGGGCAAGCGUUGUCCGGAAUCAUUGGGCGUAAAGCGCGUGUAGGCGGUCCGGUAAGUCGGCUGUGAAAGUCCAGGGCUCAACCCUGGGAUGCCGGUCGAUACUGCCGGACUAGAGUCCGGAAGAGGCGAGUGGAAUUCCCGGUGUAGCGGUGAAAUGCGCAGAUAUCAGGAAGAACACCAAUGGCGAAAGCAGCUCUCUGGGACGGUACUGACGCUGAGACGCGAAAGCGUGGGGAGCGAACAGG